ACAUUCUGAGAUUUGUUGAGGAGAACACUGCCUCCCCAACACGUGGUGUCUCAAGUCGGAUGGCAUUCCAAAAUUGAGGGAACCCAUUUAUGAUAGGCAGAUGGUACCUCAAGCCUCUCAGACUCAACAUGCAAGAGCUCACACUCGAGCACAGCAGAGGUCUCUACCACUGGACGUUUAGCAUUACCCACUGGAAGUGUGAGGGAAGAGUGAGUGAUGGUGAAGAAUGCCAUGUCAUGGCACUGCCACAAGGCUCAGGGAUGACAAGGCCCUACCUACGUGCAAUCACGACCCACCACACAGUGCGCGACACUCCCAGAGUGUGCUGCUUGGCUUCCUGGGAGGCUUCGUCUCACUGUAUUUCCUUCAGACCUGAGAAAAUGGCAAUGGAGACGUCCAGUGUGGGAGCUGCCGCAUACUGCGCAGGGUCCCCACAGUCAUCACAUCCUGGGGCCCAGGACGGCUGCAGCUGCCAGCUGGUGUGGACUGGCUCUAUGCUGUGGCACUGCUGGCGUGGAAACAGAGCAAAGUCAACAACACGCAGUUACACCUUCCCACUCUUCCAGCUCUAAUACACUGAGAAGCUGGUCAGUAAUUCUCUUUUGUGGUACCUCUUUAGGGAAGGAGCGGGAAAAGAGCUUUCAGACAACCAUUCUGGGAAAAACAUAAGAACUUUUACUAACAAAUUCACAGCAGGCACCCAGAAGCUACCCGACCUGUACUCAGAUGAUAUGUGGCAGGGAUACAAAUACCCCCAAUGAAGAAUUACAAUUACAUAUACACAUGAGUGCUCCAGCGAGCUAGAGGUUUAUACAGACUCUGCAUCUCCUGCUGGCAAGGCGGCUUACUAAGAAUCUGAAAAAAGCAAUGUUUGUGAAACAAAAAAUAUGCAUGGUGUCAGAACGAGACAUGUCAACAAAGCAGCAGUAAGCAAAGGCUGGUGAACAGUCUAUACCCCUGCAUGGUGUCCCCUGCACACAAUUCAGCAUGUUGAAAUGCAGGGGUGUAGACACACUGUUCUGUUAACCUGACAUUUGGAAUUUGGUCUUUUGAUUGUUCUGAGACUGGAGAGCAACAACCUGGAAGGGAAUCCCACUUCUUUCUCUUGAUCACAUCAGUGUCAUUAUCAUGGAACAUCUAAGAAUCCCUCUGGAAGGAUUCUCCUGGUUUCUCCUCUUCAAAACUAAUAGCACAAAAGAAAAUAAAGAUGACAUACUGCCCACCUCAGUUCUACAGGCCCCACCUCAAAGUCACUAUACAAAGUCUUCAACUACAUACACUAUGGGGGCGAGGAGGGGGUCUCAAAUGCCAAACCCAAAUCAUAAUUCAAGAGACAAAACAAAUUCUCAUCUUUAGUGUGCAAAGAUUACCACGCUUUAGAAAAUUUCAAACUUGGUUUUUCCUUGCACAGCUCUACGUAUGACGUUGGAGAAGAGUACCAGAAUAUUCUUGUCUCGUUUAUUUCAAGGCACUUUCCAUCAAAAGGUGCAAAUAGAAAUAAAGCUACUUGGUCUGCUCUAACAGGAAAAGUCUACAUGUAAAUCCUUGGAGGGGGUUUCUAGGCACUAACAGACCAUGGAUAAGCAAGCAGUUCUAUUUGACGUUCUCCAGAGUCACUGGUAUCUGUGGCAUCAGCUAAGCUACUGACUGAAAUGUUGGUAAAUUGUCAACUCCUUGUCUUACAGCCACUGAACAUUUUAUGCAUGCAACAAGCCUCCUGUGUAUUUGAGGAUAAUCCCUACAGAGAGAACCUCCAUUACUAUACAUCUCAUGCCCUCUAAUUUUAAGAACACGUCAAAGUGAUUAGCUAUAUAAGUAAUCAUAUAUAUAUAUUAACAAAAGAUACAAAUAUGCUAGCUAUCUGGUACUUUUUCAUAUAAGAAAAGAUCUUAUGUAUAAUAUAGCCUUGGCUGGACUGGAAAAACCCUUCCUCAGCCUUGUAAAUGCUGUAAUUGCAGGCAGGAGCCACCAUGCCUGGCUUUAUAUGGUGCUUUAAAAACAAACACUUAAUCUUCGAUACUCCUUCCCAACUUCUGUUUCAUUUAAUCUAUUAGCUACCUGAAAAUUAAAACUUCCUUUUCCUCUGCCUUAAAAAAA
rnacentral:lncRNA from 1 species